rnacentral:lncRNA from 1 species
AUGGUAGGCUAUUUGAAGGAAGGUCGAAGGAUCUCAAUGAAGAGAUGAGACUGAUGCUUCCGAACUACUGGUCUAGAAAGACCCCAGUAAAGAUAUGUUUAUUUACACUUCACAGAGGUCUGAGAAUACCAUUUAUUAGAAGACUGAGAUACCAGUUAUUGAUAAUUAAUCCUUUCUUCAACAUUUUUUACAACCAUUUCCUUUAGUGACAGUAACCAUUAUAGGCAGCAUGCACAGAAGAGGUCCCCAGCUUUGUUUAAAACAGCACAAACUUUAAUGCCUUUUUAGAGACAGCACCAUGGUCCAUUUAUGCUAGCUGAAGAUCUGUCACUUCAACUUAAAUUAUUUGAAACUGUAUUUAGAGAAAAAGCUAUAUCUGUUUGAAGUAGUUUAGCAUUUAUAAACGUAAGAGCUGGAAAGGAUAUCAGAAUUGCUUGUUAAACCUCACCUUGGGGAAACAGGGAUAAUUCUGAUGACCCUGCCCACAGGAACAGCUGCUGAUAAAUAGGGGAUCAGCAGAUAGUGAGGGUUAAGGUUAGUAAAAGGCAGAGCAUGGAGCUCUGACCAGAGAGUCCCUGAAAAGAGACUGGCUGGAGGGAUGAGAAGGCUGCAAAAAGAGUUCUCUUUUUCAGGCAGGGCCUUUUUGAAGUCUGUGUGGAGUCUUGCCACUGCUUUCACAGGAUUUUGGAUCAGGACCAUAACUGUCUGUGCUGCUGACAUAUAUCUGGACCUUACCUGUUGCUUUCAAGAAAUGCGGUGCUGUGGCCUAGGACUGGCUGCUCAGGAGCAUCGGUUUCCCCUAAAGGCUUGGAAAUCACAUAACGUGUUGUAGCUGCACAGCUGUGGUACAAAUGAUAAUGCACGGUGAAGUGAAUGGGUAAACCCAGCAGCACAGCAUUUAUGUGCAUGUGUUGGGUUUGAGUUUAUUUCAGCACAGGGAUCUGUGCAGAGGAAGUGGCAGUGACACAGUCCUCUGGAAACUGGAUCCCAGGCAGGAGCAGCCCAUCCUGCUGAGCAAGGGCUGCUCUGAUGUGUGAGCAGAAGCAUGCCCCAGCCUUGCCCCAUCGUGGUACAGGUCCCUUUUCAGCAUGCAACAGCUUUAGUAUGUGGCUGUGCUCUCUGUAGAGCAGACAAUUGGGUGGUUUUGUACGGUUUGGGGAGCAGGUUGAAGUUGCUAGCUUAGAGAUCACAACUCUCCAGCAAAAAGAAACAUUAUAAGACCUUUAUGAUUAUAAGUACAUAGAUGUAUAAGUACAAACAGGCCUUUAUGAUUAUAAGUACUGGGGAAGGGUUGGGGGGAAGAGUAUUAGAAUCAUAUUAAUUCUUUCUCAUGAGGAAAAAAAAAUAAAAAUAACAAGUGAGUUUUUGUUAAUGGCUAA